UACGUAGGGUGCAAGCGUUGUCCGGAAUUAUUGGGCGUAAAGAGCUCGUAGGCGGUUUGUUGCGUCGGCUGUGAAAUCCCGAGGCUCAACCUCGGGUCUGCAGUCGAUACGGGCGGACUUGAGUGUUGCAGGGGAGACUGGAAUUCCUGGUGUAGCGGUGAAAUGCGCAGAUAUCAGGAGGAACACCGGUGGCGAAGGCGGGUCUCUGGGCCGAUACUGACGCUGAGGAGCGAAAGCGUGGGGAGCGAACAGG
rnacentral:rRNA from 1 species